AUUACUUUAAAAUCUAAAAUUGGAUGGAUAAUUUUAGGCACCUCACGAACAUUACAGUAUUUAGGCAUUUUAUGUAUAUCUCUCAUUUAAUCGUCAUAACAUCUCUAUAAUGUGGUAACACUGUACCCACAUUACAGAUAAAAACCUGAGACUUGUCUAAAGCCACUGAGCUAGAAGUAGUAAAGCUGAGAUGUGAGCCACAGUCUAACUCCAAAAUCUAAGCCUUUUCUAAAAGAAAUGUAUUGAAGACAGGCUAUUUUUUUUUUAUUUAUAAAUAAGCCUUCUAGAACAUGAAUGUUCAUACACUCACAUAAAAACCAGUGCUUCAAACAUGAGAAUCAGGAGUACAGACCAAAGAAACAUUUGCUGUAUCAGGAUAUGCAACAUUCAGAGAUCAGGAUCAUUUUUUGGGAGAGGUGGGUGAAUCCAUUCCCAAUUAUCAAAGAUGAAAGACUCACAUAAAUGAUAGGAGCAUCCUACCCAGAGGAAACACACACCAACAGGGUAAAGAGCACAAAGGCUUUCCACCAGUGGAAAACCAGCAAUUGUUUUACGUUAAGGAUGUAGUCCUCUUAACAAUCAACAGGAAGGUAAAACCAAAAAGACUCAGAGUAUGGCUUCACCAAUUUAUCACUGUUGGAAAAACAGCUCAAGCACUUAUAAUAUACUUAGUAGUAACAAACUGAGGAAAAGUUCUAGGUGGUUGUAUUCAUACAUCUUUGUCCAACAGGUAUUACGCAGAGUGUGCGCAGGAACCAAGCAGGGUCCUUUACAUGUUAUCAUCUCUAUUAUCAGUAAGGAUGUUCCUAGAAAGGAAGACUUACUUGAUAAAUCUCAAGAAAAGUGGGGAGAGUUCCCUGGACCGUGGCUCUAUCCUCUCUGGGAAUUUUGCCAGAGCUCGCCAGAGCAAAAAUCGAAAGUUGGUGUGGUCCAAUCUUUCCCGACAGUCAGUUUUCGACACUAACUGCUCAUGAUAAAGAGCUCCAACAUCUCCUUCCUGAGUCUGCUCCCAACUUUCAUCUCCAAUGGACUUCUCAUCUCUGACAUCAUUUUGUAGCUCCUUCUCUGCAAGGAAAAGCUCUGUGCCUGACCAGACAGGCUCCAGAGAGAGGAUCAACAAUUACCAGGACCCAGAUGGAGCAUGAGAAGGCCUUAGCCUAGCUCUUGGGGAUCAUUGACUAUGGAGUUUGAAGGAGCAGGUCUGGCCCCUCCCGAUCAACACAAGGCACCAAACCAGGGGCACAGAUUUUAUUUAUUUAUUCAUAGAAACAGAGAGAGAGAGGCAGAGACACAGGCAGAGGGAGAAGCAGGCUCCAUGCAGGGAGCCCGACGUGGGACUCGAUCCUGGGUCUCCAAGGAUCAUGCCCCAGGCCGAAGGUGGCGCUAAACUGCUAAGCCCCUGGGAUUGCCCAAAAAGUCCUUAUUUUUAAACUAAAGUUUGGCUCACUGACUCACUAUAUAAUAAAAUUUUGCAAUUAUUAUACAAUAUCCUAUUACUCUAAAAAAUAA